CCUAGAUCUCCAUGAUGUAGAGCUGGGAGGGCACUGUGCAGGCCAGCUAGGCCAACAAGCUUGGGUUUACAGUUGAGAACAGGGACGUGCAGUGCUUUGUGGAAGGCCACACGCACAGUAAGUAAGAGCUAAUGUUUGAUCCCAUAUCAUCUUAUUCCUUUGCUCAUGAUGUCCACUGCCCUGUUCUGACAGGGGCAGUGCAUGUGUUUAAUGAAAUAUUGGGGCUCUGUGAGGAAUCGUGGGAAUGACAAGGAGAAGUGUGGCAAAGCUCACGUGAACUGAUGGAAAGUGAGGAAAACAAUAUAUACAAUGACUGUAAUAACGUGUGGAAAGAGAGACAACAAAACAAUAAUAAUGAAGGCACUGGAGUUUUAAUGAUCCUUCUGGAGAGAGUGGGGAGUGAACGAGAGGGUGAUGGAAGCACUGCCCACUGCAGACCCCUGUGCAUGGAAGAUGAAGGUUUGAAAAUCCCACAGGGAUCACACGUGCCUCUUGUUCAAGCUCUUCCUCUAUAUCUGGGGGACAGAAAGAAUCCCUGCAUCAUCUCUGGUUAAUCAUCACAAAUCAUGGAGAGGAUCUCUGUGCAGAUGACUCAGACCUACACAGCCAGCCCUAGGUUCCUGACCUUUAGGUCAGUCUCUCUACCUGCCCCUUGGACAUCACCAACAUCAAGCUGCUCAUCAUGUCCAAAACAGAAUGUGUCUCUUCUCUUCUAGAUCUGGGACCUGGUCUACAACCGGUGAAAAGUUGGAAAAGCUGCCUCAGUAUCCCCUAGUGGCCUGAAUGUACUUC